CCUACGGGUGGCAGCAGUGAGGAAUUUUGGACAAUGGGCGCAAGCCUGAUCCAGCUAUUCCGCGUGUGGGAUGACGGCCCUCGGGUUUUAAACCACUUUUUUACAGAACGAAAAGUAGCUAUCGAAUAAAUAGCUCUGCUGACGGUACGCUAAGAAUCAGCACCGGCUAACUACGUGCCAGCAGCCGCGGUAAUGCGUAGGGUGCGAGCGUGAAUCGGAAUUACUGGGCGGAAGGGGUGUGCAGGCGGCUGAGUAAGACAGAUGUGAAAUGCCCGGGCUUAACCUGUGAACCGCAUAUGUGACUGCUUGGCUAGAGUGCGUCAGAGGGAGGUGGAAUGCGAGGUGUAGCAGUGAAAUGCGUAGAUAUGUGGAAGAACACCGAUGGCGAAGGCAGCCUCC
rnacentral:rRNA from 1 species